rnacentral:lncRNA from 13 species
AACCCAGGAGCCGGUUCCCAGCCUCCAGCCGCGCGCCUGCCGGAAGAGGGGAGAGAAAGGAGGGGUAAAACCCUUCACGCGCCUGCGCUCAGCAGCCUGCCGGCUCAGCCAAGGAGAGCUCUGCCCGCGGCUCACUCCCCACCUACUCGCGUCUCGCGUCUCGCGCCACGCGGACCCCAGAAACCCGGACCCGAGAGCGAACGCGUCGCGCUCCCGCGCAGACUUAAGGUCCCGGGCGGGCGCCUGCGCACGAGCUUCCCAGGCGCGCAAGCUGCGGGGUUAUUAGAGGUGGAGCGCGGGGAGGGCGCGCGGCAGGAGGCGGUCGCCGUUACGGCGCGAGCGUGGUCACGUGGCCGCUGGUCACCGCCGCCACCCCCUCCCGCCCUGUUCUCUUUCAGGUCGGGCCGGGCCCGGCAGGUUCCGCGAGCGCCUGGCAGACUGAGGGAGAGAGAGAGAGAGAAAGAGGAGGGGAGGAGGAGGAUUCAGGGAAUAGGAGCUGGGGAGCCCUUCUGCGCCACAGGUAGGGAUCAGGAAGUACAAGUGAAAUGGUUCAGUUUUGGGAACAUUUUCUGUAUAUGGAUGUGUCUCAUACAGGGAGAUGCUGUUUUUCCAGCAGCUAAGUUGAGGAAGAACUUAGUUCAUCUCUGUUUCGUGAUUCCUCUUCAAUUUGUUUGCUAACCAAGACUUGUGUUUGGAGAACUCUAUUGUACUGAGCCUAAGUCAUCUUUGAUCUAUAACAAGAAACAUGCAUUUUCACAUGUCAACCAGAUUUGUGGACCAGUAAAGUUCUCCCAAAAGGUAAGCAUAUAUAUAUUUAAAAUAUACAUUUUAAAAUAGAAUAGUCUAAAUACUCUUACCACAAUAAUGUGUUCCAUAGAUAUUUGUGCAAAAAAAAAGAAAAAAAGUAUGUGUGUGUACUUCUGCCAAAUUUAGAUUGAAGACUUCUUCAGGGAAUAGUGUUGCGCCUGCAACACAGUUACUCAGUUUCCUCAUCUGUUUCUGUCUUACCUCCUACUUUCAGUCACCAGUUUCCAUUCUUUUCCCUUUGCUCAUUGUUUUUCUUCUCAGUUGGCUGAAUCUUCCAGGUGUCUUUUAAAAAUGUUUUCCCACCAGCGGAUUUAAGCACUUUCCUUAAGGAACACUUUUUGUAUCCAUAGGCCUUUUAUUUUCUAUUCUCCACCCCACAACAUUUGAUGCAGUUUCUUUUCUGCAUCAAUGAAGCUGCCUUUUCCCUUGUCUCUUCUGUGCUUCUCAUCCCUUUCCCCGUUCAAUAUAAGCGAUCAAAUGACUUAAGAACUGGAUUACUGCUGGGAAACUCCGCAGUCCUUACUGGGUUCUUUUAUAGUAAGAGGUACACAAGUGUUGAGAUCUCAGAAUUUUAAAGAAAAAUAAAUCUUUGAUGUAAUCAUAUCUUUAUAGUAAC